AUUUGCCUCGGAUGCACUCCAACCCCUGUGACAUACCAAUUGUUGCCUCGGCGGAUCAGCCCGCUCCCGGUAAAACGGGACGGCCCGCCAGAGGACCCCUAAACUCUGUUUCUAUAUGUAACUUCUGAGUAAAACCAUAAAUAAAUCAAAACUUUCAACAACGGAUCUCUUGGUUCUGGCAUCGAUGAAGAACGCAGCAAAAUGCGAUAAGUAAUGUGAAUUGCAGAAUUCAGUGAAUCAUCGAAUCUUUGAACGCACAUUGCGCCCGCCAGUAUUCUGGCGGGCAUGCCUGUUCGAGCGUCAUUUCAACCCUCAAGCCCUCGGGUUUGGUGUUGGGGAUCGGCGAGCCCUUGCGGCAAGCCGGCCCCGAAAUCUAGUGGCGGUCUCGCUGCAGCUUCCAUUGCGUAGUAGUAAAACCCUCGCAACUGGUACGCGGCGCGGCCAAGCCGUUAAACCCCCAACUUCUGAAUGUUGACCUCGGAUCAGGUAGGAAUACCCGCUGAACUUAAGCAUAUCAAAACCGGGAAGGAAA
rnacentral:rRNA from 1 species